rnacentral:rRNA from 1 species
AACGAGCGCUGGUGGUAUGCUUAAUACAUGCAAGUCGAACGGGUGUAGCAAUACAUCAGUGGCAAACGGGUGAGGAAUAUAUAGGAACCUCCCUAGCAGUAAGGAAUAACUUUGGGAAACCAAAGCUAAUGCCAUAUAUUACCCUUCGGGGGGAAAGAUUUAUCGCUGUUAGAUGGGCCUGUAUCAGAUUAGCUAGUUGG